ACGAACGCUGGCGGCAUGCCUAAUACAUGCAAGUCGAACGAGAUCUUCGGAUCUAGUGGCGCACGGGUGCGUAACGCGUGGGAAUCUACCCUUGGGUUCGGAAUAACAGUUGGAAACGACUGCUAAUACCGGAUGAUGACGUAAGUCCAAAGAUUUAUCGCCCAGGGAUGAGCCCGCGUAGGAUUAGCUAGUUGGUGGGGUAAAGGCCUACCAAGGCUACGAUCCUUAGCUGGUCUGAGAGGAUGAUCAGCCACACUGGGACUGAGACACGGCCCAGACUCCUACGGGAGGCAGCAGUAGGGAAUAUUGGACAAUGGGGGCAACCCUGAUCCAGCAAUGCCGCGUGAGUGAUGAAGGCCUUAGGGUUGUAAAGCUCUUUUACCCGAGAUGAUAAUGACAGUAUCGGGAGAAUAAGCUCCGGCUAACUCCGU
rnacentral:rRNA from 1 species